rnacentral:rRNA from 1 species
UACGUAGGGUGCAAGCGUUGUCCGGAAUGAUUGGGCGUAAAGAGCUCGUAGGCGGUCUGUCGCGUCGGAUGUGAAAACUCGGGGCUCAACCCCGAGCCUGCAUUCGAUACGGGCAGACUAGAGUUCGGUAGGGGAGACUGGAAUUCCUGGUGUAGCGGUGAAAUGCGCAGAUAUCAGGAGGAACACCGGUGGCGAAGGCGGGUCUCUGGGCCGAUACUGACGCUGAGGAGCGAAAGCGUGGGGAGCGAACAGG